GAGGUUUUAAGUUAAUGAAACUUUUAGCCUUCAAAGUUAAAUAUAUAAAUGUGUUUUAUAAGCCUCA
rnacentral:tRNA from 1 species